rnacentral:lncRNA from 1 species
GAUAACACAACGCACUUUUAAAUUAAGAUUGUUUCUUUUUUUGUUUUUCAUAGUGUCAUAUAUAUAUAUAUAUAUAUAUAUAUAUAUAUAUAUAUAUAUAUAUAUAAACAUUAUUUUUUUAUUUAUGAUUCUUGUAAUAUUAGAAGAAAAAAAUCAAAGGAUCCAAAUUCUUAUUUUAAUAUGGUUAAAAGAUAUUUAAUCUUAGACAACCUAAAAAAAAGAGUUAUAUCAAGACAACUUUAUGAAAAAGCAAAAUUGCUGGAAGAGUUGGUGAAGUUAAGGAAUUUGAGACUUCCGAGGAACUUGUAGGGACUUUUGGGUACAAACUUCAAAGUACUAGAUGUUAGUGCAGGGUACAUGAAUGUAAGUAAACCUUUUAAGGUUCUAUUGGUUACUGCAAUUUGUAUUGCUUUCCCAUUGAAUUUUCUUUUCAUUUGUCGAAGGCACGAGUUUGAUAAAAUUUUAAAAUUUUAUUUUUAAUUUUAAAAUAAAAAU